rnacentral:rRNA from 1 species
UACCAGCACCCCGAGUGGUCGGGACGAUUAUUGGGCCUAAAGCAUCCGUAGCCGGUCCUACAAGUCUUCCGUUAAAUCCACCUGCUUAACAGAUGGGCUGCGGAAGAUACUAUGGAGCUAGGAGGCGGGAGAGGCAAGCGGUACUCGAUGGGUAGGGGUAAAAUCCGUUGAUCCAUUGAAGACCACCAGUGGCGAAGGCGGCUUGCCAGAACGCGCCCGACGGUGAGGGAUGAAAGCUGGGGGAGCAAACCGG